UUUCACACAAAAGUGAAUCCGUUUUCUUUUUUCUUUUUCAUAAAAUAAGAAUAAUUUGAAAUGGUGAUCGUUGGAGAACUAAAUGUGAACACAUCACUGCUCUCACCUACUGCUUAAACAAUGUGACAUUUAGAGAUGAAAACACACACAGAGAGAGAAACACACAAACACACACUCACACAUACACUCACAGACACACGGACAUACACUCACACAGAGAGAAAGAGAGACAAACACACACACUCACAGACACACUCACACACAGAGAGAAACACACACACACACACACACACACACACACACACACACACACACACACACACACACACACACACACACAGCAGGUGUUGAGUGUUUAAGGUAACAGGAAGUAGGCGGGUGUUUUGACCUGUUUUAAGUCACCUGACACAGAGAAUAAUCUUAUUUAUCCUUCACUCUCUAGAACAGACACUUCUCGUCUAAAGCAGCUCUCGUCCAUCAGAUGAAAGUACGAUCAUAAAUAAAAACAGAGAGCAUCCAUCCAUCUGUCCUCUGCUUUCAUGAAGGAGUGCACGUAUAAUCAGUCUCUGCUGUGACUUCAGACGCUCGUUUCUGAUCCUGCUCUCAUGAUGAGCGUCUCUGAGCGUGUCUGUGUUUGGGCGAGUGCAGACUCAUCACACACAGGUGUUUAUGAAGAGAGACACAUCACAGACCAGACAGCAACAAAUCAAACCCAACUCACUUUCAUUCAUUCACUCUUCCUGUCAAUCAUUCAUCAGGGAUGAUGUGUCUUCGUAAUCUUUCAUCAGAAUGUAAUAAUCACACUUUACACCAUCACAUCCGUUCAGCAGAGAAAAUCAAAUCCUACAGUGUUUUCACUUCAUUAAAUAUCCUGCUCUCACAUCAAACACAGAUUUGUCCACAUUUACACAUCAGUGACGUUUGUUAAAGCGACAGUUCACCAAAAAACUAACAUUAAUGUCAUCAUUUACUCUUCCUUGAGUUGUUUCAAACCUGCAGGAGUUUCUGGUAACACUUUACUUAAAGCCUUUAUGCAUUAUGCAUUAUAAAAGUAGUUUUAAUGCAUUAAUUAUGCCUUUUAAUGCACCUUAUGAUGCAUCGUACAAUCUCGUGAAUAAUUGUAACCACGGUUAAUACUUUAUAACACUUUUCAGUUCAUUGUUACACUAUGCAUUUUAAAUUUGGCUAUAAUUAUUUACAACAAGAUACAAUGUAUUACAACGUACAUUAUAAAUAAUUAAAUUGCAUUAUACCAUUUAAUAACCCUUUAUAAUACAUUAUACAUAAAGGCUUUUAAGUAAAGUGUUGCGAUUUUCUUUCUGUUGAAUUCAAAAGAUGUUUUGAAGAAUGUUGGGAACCAAACAGUUGACGGUAGCCAUUGACUUUCAUAGUAAGGACAAAUAUACUAAGGAAGCCAAUGGCUACCAUCAACUGAUUGGUUCCCAACAUUCUUUAAUCUCCUACAGAAGUUAAUCACUGAUUUUUUUUUAAAUCAAAGAUACUGUUUUAUACUGUGAGAAGCCUAGAAUAUCUCUUGAAAAUGUCACCAAAUUCUUUAUAUCAUAUGGAAAAGUUUUCAUUCAAAAACAAAAAUGCUCUACUUCUUCUUCUUGUCUUCCAACUUCUCUUCUUGAAUUCAACUCUAAUUCAGUUUCAUCACACAGACUUAAAAACAAUAACAAAAACGGCAGAUUUUUGAGAACCUAAUUAAAAAUGUGUAUUUUUGUAAACAUGUUUUUUCCUCAAUAUAAUUCUUUCAUAUUUAAGAUAUGAGUGUGAUCUCCCCAUUCAUGUAAUUUUAUAUUAUAAAAAAAACUAAAAAAAAAAAACUGUUUCUUAUGCCCUAACAGAAGUAAUAAGCAGGAAAAAGGACAGGCAUUUUUAUUCCUGAAUAGCAGAAAAAUAAAUGUGGUAAAGUCUGAGUCUCUCUUUUCCUGAACAUGACGGAGCGGCUCGUGGAAAGGUGGUUUCACAGCAGACGCCAGCACCGUGUUGGUUUACUAAUGUUACUAAUGCUCAGUGUGAUAAAACACAGCGGUCUGAGAGUAAACAAGUGAGAGAGAAGAUAUUUCCCUUCACGAACAGAGAGAGCAGGACAUUAUUAAUCUGUGAAACACAGGUCUGUCUGUCUGCUCGUUAUUCUGCGGCGGGUGAGUAACAGACUGUAACACUGCUAUGAUAGUGAUCAGAUUUAACACCUGUCUGUUCCCCUCCCAUAAUGCCCUGCAGCCUGACGACAGCUGAAAUCUCUCAGAGAGCCAUUCAUAUGGUCACACACACACACACACACACACACACACACACACAGAUGUGGAUCGAACACUGAGAGCUGAAGGAGCACCAAUUAACACAGUGACAUAAAUUCAACACACACACACACACACACACACAGCGUUGUCCUUGAAUGAACCUCAAUCAUUAGUCACACACAGACUCUAUUUCUCUCCUCUUGACAUUAAUAAAAACACAUAUAUUUAAUAC
rnacentral:lncRNA from 12 species